GAUGAAGAACGUAGCGAAAUGCGAUAAGUAGUGUGAAUUGCAGAAUUCAGUGAAUCAUCGAAUCUUUGAACGCACAUUGUGCCCCUUGGUAUUCCAUGGGGCAUGCCUGUUCGAGCGUCAUUUGUACCUUCAAGCUCUGCUUGGUGUUGGGUGUUUGUCUCGCCUCUGCGUGUAGACUCGCCUCAAAACAAUUGGCAGCCGGCGUAUUGAUUUCGGAGCGCAGUACAUCUCGCGCUUUGCACUCAUAACGACGACGUCCAAAAGUACAUUUUUACACUCUUGACCUCGGAUCAGGUAGGGAUACCCGCUGAACUUAAGCAUAUCAAUAAGCGGAGGA
rnacentral:misc_RNA from 1 species